rfam:Triticum aestivum genome assembly, contig: Triticum_aestivum_CS42_TGACv1_scaffold_435014_5DL
UUUAUACUCCCUCCGUUCGGAAUUACUCGUCCAAGAAAUGAAUGUAUCUAGAUGUAUUUUAGUUGUAGAUACAUCCAUUUUUUUGUGACAAAUAAUUCCGAACGGAGGGAGUAGAUG